rnacentral:rRNA from 1 species
AUUCCAGCUCCAAGAGCGUAUAUUAAAGUUGCUGCGGUUAAAAAGCUCGUAGUUGGAUUUCAGUCUAGGAAGGUUAACUCGCCGAAAGGUUGUACGUUGAUUUUCCUCAGACUUCGUCAGAAGCUCGUGCUGCACUUAACUGUGUGGUACGAUGUUCUGACCUUUUACCUUGAGGAAAGUAGAGUGUUUCAGGCAGGCUACCCAGCUUGAAUACAUUAGCAUGGAAUAAUGAAAUGGAUCUCGGUUCGAUUUCGUUGGUUCUAGAGCUGAGGUGAUGAUCAAUAGGAACAGGCGAAGGUAUUCGUACUUGAGAGUGAGGAGUGAAAUCCGAUGAUCUCUUAAAGACGAUCCGAGGCGAAAGCAUUUGUCAAGGAUGUUUUCAUCA